AGCCGUGUCCCAGAUCUGUAGUUUUAUUGGUUUGUUGUCUAUUGUGAUCAUUCUAGCCCCAAAUUCAACCCCAAUGGUCAAGUCAUGGACCGGUUGAAAUCGUUUGUCCGUAAAUUGCAGGAGAAGACAGGAUUUUCCGACUCCUGUAUCUCCGAUGAUUAUAUACUUGAAAAGAUAAGCAUACGACAUGAUUGAUAUGAGAUCUGACGAGCUGGAGAAUUUGAUUGCUUGAAUUUAUACGAUUUUUUCUGGUAAUUUGAUAGAAUGUUUGAGAAGAAGAUGAAGAGGGGAGGAUCGGGAUUAGGGUCUGUUAGCA
rnacentral:misc_RNA from 1 species